UACAGAGGGGGCAAGCGUUAUUCGGAAUUAUUGGGCGUAAAGGGCGCGUAGGCGGCCUGGCAAGUGGAAGGUGAAAUCCCUCGGCUUAACCGAGGAACUGCCCUCCAAACUGCUUGGCUUGAGUCCGGGAGAGGUGAGUGGAAUUCCCAGUGUAGCGGUGAAAUGCGUAGAUAUUGGGAGGAACACCAGUGGCGAAGGCGGCUCACUGGACCGGAGCUGACGCUGAGGCGCGAAAGCGUGGGGAGCAAACAGG
rnacentral:rRNA from 1 species